rnacentral:rRNA from 1 species
GACAGAGGGUGCAAACGUUGUUCGGAAUUACUGGGCGUAAAGCGCAUGUAGGCGGCCUAGCAGGUCGGAUGUGAAAUCCCUCGGCUCAACCAAGGAAGUGCAUUCGAAACCGCAAGGCUGGAGUCCCGGAGAGGAUGGUGGAAUUCUCGGUGUAGAGGUGAAAUUCGUAGAGAUCGGGAGGAACACCUGUGGCGAAGGCGGCAUCCUGGACCGACAUUGACGCUGAACGGCGAAAGCUAGGGGAGCAAACGGG